GGGAGUAGGAUGCUGAGGAAGUAAAUAAGGAAAUACUGCGUGUCCCGAGAUACGGAUCUUCGCUGAGGUCUAUUACUGAAGCCCUGCCCCCACUCCGCACCUGUUACUUUACCCUUGAGUUGCCAGCUUACACACGCAAGAAGGAAAGUGAGGCAUGGUCUGCAUAUUUGUAAGCCUGAGGGUCAAGGAUGAAUCUACACUGGGAAUUCGAAAGGCAAGCAGCCUUAAGUCAGCACUCUGGGAUCAACCGCAUUUACCUCUUGUGGAAGUUAGGACGAUUUCAGCUACGAGCAACAGAAAUCUUAACUUGUAAUUUAAAACAAGAUCAGCAAAAUAUGGCCCACAGGCCACCCCCGGCUCUUCACCUGUUUUUGUACAGCCUUCAAGCUAAGGAGUGCAUUUUAUACUCAAGAAGGGCCUGUGUGGUGGCCUUUGAACUUGCACCUCUCAGCUCUCCUACUGGGGAAGUGUAAUCUACCCCAGCCGCUGUGCUCUGAACGCACCACCACAUCCGAGCUGUGUCCGCACCACCCACGGAUGUCUCUGCCUAUGACCCAGCACCGCAGGGGGACUGAUUCCUCUUCUGACUUUGCCUCCAGGGCCCUGUCAUGGACUGAAUGUAUCCUCCUGAAAUUCAUGUGUUAGAGCCCUACCCUCGCCCCCCUCAGUGUGAUGGUAUUUGGAGGCGGGGCCUGUGGGAGGUGAUUAGGUCAUGAGGGUGGACCCUUUCUAAGUGGGCUUAGUGCCCUAUAGGAAGGGAUUCCUGAGAGAUGAUCGCUCUCUCCCCAUGGUUGUCUGCCAUGGAAGAAGGCUCUUGCCAGACAUAGAGCCUCUGGAAACUUGACCUUGGACUUCCCAGCCUCCAGAACCAUGAGAAAUAAAUGUCUAUUAUUUAAGCC